AUUUUCUGUCACAGUGAAUCAAUCCACGAACAACCCCGCUCCGCUCCCGUCCCGUCACGUGUUUCUGUCCGCUGCUGCUCCGCGACCUUCUGUUGUCCCGCGACGUCAAGUGUACGUCUACUACAUCAACACUUCCGGUGGAGCUGUGGUUCCACACGGAUCAGCACCAGGACCAGGACCAGGACCUGGAUCAGUGUGUAGUUGUGUUGUGUGUGAAGUGGAGUUAAUCUACAUGUCCAGAGGGAGGAUGGAGGGAUGGAUGAUGGAGGGAUGGAGGGAUGACGGAGGGAUUGAGCCAGAACAUCAGAUUAUAAUCCUCUGAGGGAAUUCUGCUGCAGCAUCGUCGUCAACAGGACGAGGAAAGCGGAGGAGGGGAGGAAGUAGGAGGUUAGAUGAGGAGUUAGAGGAGGAGACGACGUUGAGUGUGUGUUUGUCCUAAAUGUGUUGAAUGUGCAGUUUUGUUUAUGAUGAAUUUUCUGCAGAAGCAAUUAAACACAAGUGAAAUGAAGAAAAUAAAAGAGCAGAUGGUAAUUUAUCCUGUAAUACAGAAUGUGUGUGUGUGUGUGUGUGUGUGUCUCUCCAGGGUAACUUGUACCUAAUUAAACUCCCAUAAUUUUAUGACAAUUGGAAAAACAUCAACAGACAAAAUGAGACGAUGAAUUAUGAGAAGAUUUUCUGUCUUUAAUGUCAGGACAUGAGCUUCUUUCAGAGAGGACAAGUGAGGACGAGCGAGGACGAAAGAGAUGAAGAGUGAGGACGAGUUACAGGAAGAGUGAGGACGAGUGAGGACAAGUGAGGACGAGAGAAGACGAAAGAGAUGAAGAGUGAGGAUGAGAGAGGACAACAGAGGAUGAGUGAGGACGGGAGAGGACGAGUUAGAGGAAGACUGAGGACGAAAGAGAUGAAGAGUGAGGAUGAGUGAGGACGAAAUAGGACGAGACAGGACGAAAGAGAUGAAGAGUGAGGACGAGAGAGGACAAGAGAGGAUGAGUGAGGACGAGAGAGGACGAGUUAGAGGACGAGAGAGGACGAGAGAGAUGAAGAGUAAGGACGAGUGAGGACGAGUGAGGAUGAAAGAGGACAAAUGAGGACGAAAGAGAUGAAGAGUAAGGACGAGUGAGGACGAAAGAGGACGAGAGAGGACGAAAGAGAUGAAGAGUGAGGACGAGAGAG